ensembl:lncRNA
CCCCAAUUGAUUGCCAAUAAAAGUCAGUGACUGGGACCGUCCAGCCUUUGUCGGUUGCACCAGCACUGGUCGUCCUGGCCCCUGCUUUCUCUCCUGGUUCUGUCUCCUAGUAUAUUCUUUUUCACAGGCCUGUGUCGCACACUAGGCAGGUGGGUACUGGAGCCCGACUACAGGGGUCUCCACCAAUUGGUGCCCAUUGUGGGGGCUUGAACCAUGAGCAAUCACCUGCUCAGUGAGGCUACUCAGAAUAAAAAGGAAAAAAGAAAAAGAAAGAAAAGAAUUGACAACGCGGUGCACUUCACAUCAAGGUCAAGGACAAGCACAAAAUCCCUGGAAAAAAAGAGGUAUGUGCUUCAGAUGGGAGAAGGUAGUCAGCUGGGACUAAAACACUGGGUAAUCACUUUCGGCCAAAGAAGGCCUGCAGUGUUGAAAUAAAUGCUGCAAAAGAUAGUUAAAUGUAAUCAUCAUUUUUCACAAACUAGAACUUUAGAUAUGGAACUCGGAGCGUGUCAAAAAUAACAUCCAGACAGCUCGGCAAAGAAGAAAAGUUAUCUCCCUUGAGACUUUAACUGAGACCUUGACAGCUUGGAGCCUUGUGCACUGUUUUACGGCCCAAACAACCAAGCCUGGGAGCCGCUCAAGCUUCUGCUCCGUGGCAAUCAGCCGCUGGUGAGAACUGUUUAGUUUUGGUCUUAGGACAACUGCUCGCCAAAUCUGCCGUCUUUGACACGGCGGACUCGCCUCUCUCAGGAAAUGUGACAUCGUUACGGGCAAACACCAGCGCUUCUCCUUUGGAGGAGGUCGCGCUGCCUCCCCCUCUGCUUGAGUUGCUAAGAUCACAGGUGCGGGAGAGGUGGAGGAAAAGCAUGAGGAGAACCGGCUUGGCCUAAGUGUACCCCUCGAGGGUGCGUGUGGGUGCCGUGAUCGGACUCAGAGAGGGUCGAGCAGGGCUUGCACUCAGAUUGGAAAGAACUGAAAUGAGAAAUAAGUAAUGGAUUGAAAAUUGCUAGGAAAGCUCUGAAGAGCAUAAAGCAAAAUAGUGAGAAAAAACACUUCUGGCUUUGAUAGCCAAGGCCAGAGCUGUGUUAUCAGCCCGAUUCGGCUGCAAAGUUCUGGAAUCCAAAACAAAGCCGGAGAAACUGCAACUGUGCUCUACCAGACAUCAAGAGAUUUUACAAGAAAAACCAAGUUACAAAUUGUAGCUAACUGAUAAAUGUAUCUUUGUUGCAAUUUGAGUUGAUGUUUAAUUGGUGUGCUUGAAAGACUUCUUGUGCAUUGCAAAUUCUUGAAUUGUAAUUAUAGGGUUAACUUGAUCUUUUCUGUACUUUGUUGAUAAAGCAUUCAAGGUUACUACUGUUCUGUUGGCAGCCAGUCGAAUUUUAACAUGUAACAAUCUGAGAACAGAAAAAAAAGGGACACUUUAAAAUUUUAACAGCUGAAGACAAGUUUGUUAUAGAAGGUUUGUAGUAAGUGAGAUGGAGGAAAAGUAUUAAGAAAGCUGUAAGUAGAGGAGAUAUACUUUUGAUAUGAAAGGAUUUUGUAUUUUGUCUUGUUAGAAGGAUAAAGAGAGAUAUACAAGACUAGAAGGCUUAGGUACAUCGAGAAGGUGUGCAGAAUGAUUUAUCAAGGAAAAAAUAAAAAGAUGUGGUGGCCAUCAUCCCAGAAUGUGCCUCCAUGGACCAACAAGACGGAUUCACUGCAAGCAGCACGAUGUGACGCCCCUGCUGAAAGCCAUGCACAGGCUGCAUCUGAGCAACUCCCCCUCACCUGCGACAGCCCUGGGACCUGCAAAGAUCACCAGCCCUGAUGCAGCUACUGUUUCCAAACAGAGAAAGGGGAGAUGCAGAGGACUGUAAUAUUGAUUAUGCCCAAAGCAGGCUGUGAAGAGCUAACCCCACAGCUGGCUUGUUUAUAGAAGUGAGUCUGGCUAAAGCCUAUCUGCCGAGGUCACAGUAACCCAAAUUCCGUUCCCACAACUAAAACCUUCAGACUAGAAGGACAACGUUCUAAUUACAACCAUAUAUUUUGUCUAUUCUGUUCCUAAUUCGAGAAUGCUUUGUCUUGUCCUUUCUGAGCCUUGUUUACAUUAAUUUCCAUAGAAACCACACAUCACCUUUACCCCAUUUGAUUGCCAAUAAAAGUCAGUGCCUGGGACUGUCCAGCCUUUGUCGGUUACACCAGUAUUGGCCGUCUUGGCCCCCACUUUCUCUCCUAGUUCUGUCUCCUAGUAUAUUCUUUUUCACAGGCCUGAGUCACACACUGGGCAAGUGGGUACUGGAACCUGACUACAGGGGUCUCUGCCAAGCAGGGACUGGUGGUAAGACUUCCCUAAAAAUUUUCUUUCUGUGAUCUAAUAAAUACAGCAUUUGCCUUCUAAGCUUCUUGCCUAAGGAGUUUGGAACAGAAUCCCACAUCCCUUCUUAUCUUUGUCUCUCUUUACUACAUGUGUCCACUGUGUUUAUUCCACCUUUUCAUUCCUUAUUUGUCCUCAGCACACUCAAUCUGGUCUCCAGUCCUCCCCUAUUAAAACUGCUCUGUACAAAAUCUCAUGUGGGAUGUCACAAAUCUUUGGCUCCUUGGCUCAUGGCUCCUCCCUCAGCAUGC